AUUGAACGCUGGCGGCAGGCCUAACACAUGCAAGUCGAGCGGAGCGGCGGACGGGGAAGUAAUGUUUAGGAAUCUGCCUGGUCCUGGGGGCUAACGAUCGGUAACGGGCGCUAAUACCGCAUACUCUCAGAUUUGCCUAGGUCGGAUUGGCUAGUUGGUGGGGUAAUGGCCUACCAAGGCGACGAUCCGUAUCUGGUCUGAGAGGAGGAUCAUUCACACUGGAACUGAGACACGGUCCAGACUCCUACGGGAGGCAGCAGUGGGGAAUAUUGGACAAUGGGCGAAAGCCUGAUCCAGCCAGGCCGCGUGUGUGAAGAAGGUCUUCGGAUUGUAAAGCACUUUAGGUAGGGAAGCGUUACCAACAGAAUAAGCACCGGCUAACUUCGUGCCAGCAGCCGCGGUAAUUC
rnacentral:rRNA from 1 species